GCGGGGGCUCAUAGAGGUCAGGUGGGGCGAGGCCAUUUAAAGACUUGAAAAUGAAUAGGAGGAUUUUAAAAGGAACUUUAAAUUGUGAAGUGAUGCCAGUGUAGGAGUUAUGUGCCCCCUCUUGCGAGUACCAGUCAAGAGGCGAGCAGCAGCAAACUUCAGUCGAGCCUUCAGGUGCCGCUUUUGGGGGGAGGGCUUUCUUCUUGCACGGCAGCCUCUCUGUCCAUGGCGAUGCAAAACACACUUGACUGAGGAAACUGACACCCGUGUUCCAGCAGCUUCUAAUUCUUGGCAGAUCUGCUUUUUGGUGGUUCUCGGUUGACUCUUCAACUUCUGGACCAGUUUUUUCGCAGCAGCAGGUACAGCAGCGGGAAGAGCAGCUCAACACAAUGAAGGAAAACGAAACGGCGGUUCAAGCGGAGGCAAUCGCAUCGCAGCAGGUUUUGUCUCUCAAGAAGAAGCACCUUGAAGAGGCCCAGAAAAAAAAAUGAUUCUGGCUUCAGGAUGGACGUUGAGCGAUUCAUCACAAGACUUGAGGCAAGUCAGGUCAGAGCAGAAGAAAUGAUUAAUGCCUGCAAAACACUGAAGAGCCAGCUGCAGGAGUAU